GACGAACGCUGGCGGCGUGCUUAACACAUGCAAGUCGAACGGCAAGGCCCUGCUUUUGUGGUGUGCUCGAGUGGCGAACGGGUGAGUAACACGUGAGUAACCUGCCCUUGACUUUGGGAUAACUUCAGGAAACUGGGGCUAAUACCGGAUAGGAGCUCCUGCUGCAUGGUGGGGGUUGGAAAGUUUCGGCGGUUGGGGAUGGACUCGCGGCUUAUCAGCUUGUUGGUGGGGUAGUGGCUUACCAAGGCUUUGACGGGUAGCCGGCCUGAGAGGGUGACCGGCCACAAUGGGACUGAGAUACGGCCCAGACUCCUACGGGAGGCAGCAGUGGGGAAUAUUGCACAAUGGGCGGAAGCCUGAUGCAGCGACGCCGCGUGCGGGAUGACGGCCUUCGGGUUGUAAACCGCUUUCGCCUGUGACGAAGCGUGAGUGACGGUAAUGGGUAAAGAAGCACCGGCUAACUACGUG
rnacentral:rRNA from 1 species